rnacentral:rRNA from 1 species
UACGUAGGUGGCAAGCGUUUGUCCGGAAUUAUUGGGCGUAAAGCGCGCGCAGGCGGUCCUUUAAGUCUGAUGUGAAAGCCCACGGCUUAACCGUGGAGGGUCAUUGGAAACUGGGGGACUUGAGUACAGAAGAGGAGAGUGGAAUUCCACGUGUAGCGGUGAAAUGCGUAGAGAUGUGGAGGAACACCAGUGGCGAAGGCGACUCUCUGGUCUGUAACUGACGCUGAGGCGCGAAAAGCAUGGGUAGCGAACAGG